rnacentral:rRNA from 1 species
CGUGUGCCUACAACAAGUUAGAGCCCGUUAAUGGGUGAUAGCGUGCCUUUUGUAGAAUGAACCGGCGAGUUACGAUAGCAUGCGAGGUUAAGUUGAAGAGACGGAGCCGCAGCGAAAGCGAGUCUGAAUAGGGCGAAUGAGUAUGUUGUCGUAGACCCGAAACCAUGUGAUCUACCCAUGUCCAGGUUGAAGGUGCGGUAAAACGCACUGGAGGACCGAACCCACGUACGUUGAAAAGUGCGGGGAUGAGGUGUGGGUAGCGGAGAAAUUCCAAACGAACUUGGAGAUAGCUGGUUCUCUCCGAAAUAGCUUUAGGGCUAGCCUCGGAAUUGAGAAUGAUGGAGGUAGAGCACUGUUUGGACUAGGGGCCCAUCUCGGGUUACCGAAUUCAGAUAAACUCCGAAUGCCAUUCAUUCAUAUCCGGGAGUCAGACUGUGAGUGAUAAGAUCCAUAGUCGAAAGGGAAACAGCCCAGACCACCAGCUAAGGUCCCCAAAUAACUAUUAAGUGGAAAAGGAUGUGGGGUUGCACAGACAACUAGGAUGUUGGCUUAGAAGCAGCCACCAUUUAAAGAGUGCGUAAUAGCUCACUAGUCGAGUGACCCUGCGCCGAAAAUGUACCGGGGCUAAAUAGUUUACCGAAGCUGUGGAGUGCACCAUCAGGUGCAUUGGUAGGAGAGCGUUCUAAGGGCGUUGAAGGCAGAUCGUGAGGACUGCUGGAGCGCUUAGAAGUGAGAAUGCCGGUAUGAGUAGCGAAAGACAGGUGAGAAUCCUGUCCACCGAAUGACUAAGGUUUCCUGGGGAAGGCUCGUCCGCCCAGGGUUAGUCGGGACCUAAGCCGAGGCCGACAGGCGUAGGCGAUGGACAACAGGUUGAUAUUCCUGUACCCGUUGUUUUUGUUUGAGCAAUGGAGGGACGCAGGAGGCUAAGAAGUGCAGACUGAUGGAUAUGUCUGUUCAAGCAGUAAGUCUUGGUAGGAGUCAAAUGCUUCUACCUAUACGGACAAGCUGUGAUGAGGAGGGAAAUAAUAGUACCGAAGCUUCUGAUGUCACACUGCCAAGAAAAGCUUCUAGUGAGAAAACAACGGCCCGUACCGCAAACCGACACAGGUAGUCGAGGAGAGAAUCCUAAGGUGAGCGAGAGAACUCUCGUUAAGGAACUCGGCAAAAUGACCCCGUAACUUCGGGAGAAGGGGUGCUGCUCUAACGAGCAGCCGCAGUGAAUAGGCCCAAGCGACUGUUUAUCAAAAACACAGGUCUCUGCAAA